GCGGGUAUCGUAUAAUGGCUAUUACCUCAGCCUUCCAAGCUGAUGAUACGGGUUCGAUUCCCGCUACCCGCUCCA
rnacentral:tRNA from 1 species